UGAUCCUUCUAUUUUUGUCAUUUUGCAAUCAUUUUCCCCUUGAGCUUCCAUGUGUUUCUCACCUUUAAAUAGUAUUAUUCUUUCAAACAAAAGAAUACCAUCGAAAACAGGAGCCACAGCCAUUUGGCCAUUAGAUAGUUGAUGCUCCUCCCAUCUUUUUCCUUUCUUCUUGUGGUCUAUGAGGUGAUCUCUUAUCCAAAACUGAAAACGAAACAUCAAUUAAGAUGCUGGGUAGUAAAUAGGUGAAGCUUUCUUUCCAUUCUGAUGCAGUCACAGGUCCUAAUUUGCACAUCCUUUUCUUCUGAGUGAGCUGUCAUUAGUCACGGUAUCAUGUAGAAGGGUCUAUUUCAUUAAUAAAAUUGUUGAUUUUCAAAAAUAUAAAAUAAAAAUAUUUAAAGAGUGUUAUAGCCUUUUAUUUUGCUUUAAACUUUUUUUAUUUUUUAUUAAUUAAAAAGAUGAAAAUUGACAGUUUCUUUGUAGCUUUUGUCAAUGCGACAAGACAUUAUAUUGAUACCUACAAGUAUGAGUAAUUGACGUGAUCUCUCUAUUAUUGUCCUUUAUGUUUGUUAUUUCCCUGUUGUGUACAUUUAAUGGCUUUCAUGAAAAAAUCUCUCUCUGGCUACAAACUUGAUAGGACCAAAGGAUUAGAAUACCGAUAUCAACCAACCAAUUUACUAGAUAAUGGAUGCAUAUAUGGACAAAUAUAUUUAUAAAUAUUGAUAAAAAAAGUGUAAAAAUGAUGAAAAUAUACAGUAAAUGUUAGAAAUUUAGAAUCAAAUUUAGCAUAUGUUUAUACAUAUUUUAGAAUUAUAGUAUAAAAAUUAUAUCAUACUAAUUAACUCUACACAUAGUAUAUUGUUAAAUAUUUAUAGGGUAAAAAAAAAUCUCUAUUAUAUUAUAAUUUAUAUUAUAAAUAUGGAAAUAAAUUGAAGCUAAUUUGUGAAAUAUUGAUUUCCAAACCCAAAUAUUAAAAGCCGAACCGAUUAAUAAUACCUAAUACCAUAUUGAAUUCUAAUUAAUUGAAAAUAUUUGGCUUCAUGUUUAUGCACCUAAACAUAAUAAUAUCUUCUUAGUAAGAUUUCAAGAUAUUGAAUCUUUAUAAACCUAUUGAAAAUAGAAUAAAAAUCAACAAGCGUCAUUUGAAUUACUUUAAUGAAGCAUAAUGUAACAACUCAAGUUCAAGUAUUCGUCUAGCAACUAAGCCACGUGGUCCUCAAGUUGCUAAUAAUAAUGGAUUUGAAUUGUUAUAUAGGUUUUAACAAUCAUAUUCACAUAAGAUGUAGGCAAUGGAGUAUCACAAUCCCACUCAUUGAAAUCCUUGAUGUUCUUAUUAAGGCAUUCGCAAGACCAAGAUCCCCCACGUCAAACUGGUGUAAGCUCUGAUGCUAUUUAUAACAACCUAAAUCUAAGCACUAACCCAACAACCUUUUAGGCUUCAGUCGCAUGAUUCUUAAAAGCUCAAGUUCUAGUAGUAAUAGACGUGGCUUUUUAUAUAAGUGUUAAUAAUCACAUUCAAAUAAGAUGUGAGAUGUGGGGUAUCACACAUAAAUACUCCUAAAGAAAUAUUAUCAACAUUUUCUAUUAUUUAGAUCAUUUUGAUGAAAAUAUUUUCCAUCAUCAUUGGUGAAGUUAUUUGGGUGUUAAAAUGAUAAAUAGGAGUUGAUUACAAAAUAAUGAGGCCAUUAGGUUUUCACAUUAAAAUUAAGAAUGGAAAUGAAAAUGAGCAAAAUUAAUAAUAAUAUUUUUCAGUGCAUUUAACCACAUAUUAUAAAGAAAGUAAGUUUCAAUUUUGAAAAAAUUUCUAUCUCAUCAUUGUUUUAUCAUAACAUUAUAAAAAUAUCGAUAUUUAUCAAUUAUGUAAAACAUUCAAAACUUAUAUUUAUAAAUGUGUAUUCAUUAAAUGACGAUCUUUGAAAUAUUUUUUGUUAUAAUUAUUAGUAAGAUUUAUUCAAUUUAUAAAUAAAAAUAUUAAUUGCAUUAAAUGAUUUCAUUAAAAAGUAUGUUUUAAAAUUUUAACAGUAUUCAAUAAUUUAAAUAUUAAUAUUUUAAAUUAAUUUUUUUAAAAUUAAAUAUUUUUAUUUUUAUUUUUUUAAUAUUUUAAAUUAAAUAUGAAUAUUCUUCAAACUUAUUAUCCCAAGUUUAAUAUAAGAAAAGUUUUUUUAUUCUUUAGGAAAUGUCUUACGCCGCUGUAUGUUCAGGGACUCGAUUUCCUCUUGAUAACGCUUUUGUCAUUUGGAACAAUUAAGCCCUUUUGUACGUAUACUACUCAUUUUAUCUUCAUAGCUUGACUUUUUAUGUCACUAUAAGUCUUUUAUCUACAAGAUUCAAGACUUAUUAUGAAAUAUAAAUUUUUAAAAUUAAAAAAUUUCUACUUUUAAAAAAAAAUUAAUUAUAAUUGGUAUGGUUGGUCAUUUAAUGGCUUUCAUGUAGCGCAUUACUUAUUGGAAAUAGAAAAUAUCUUUUCAAAUGUAAAACCAUAGAAGAAAAGGAUGAACAUUUACUGAACAUCUCUUUAUUGUUUUUUAAACUGUUUCUUUUCUUGGUGAUAUGCUUUUUCUCUUUCAUUCCUGCCUUAUUUUUGCUAAAACCUUUGCUUUGCGUCAAACACCUCCUUUUAUUUACUCAUUAAGAAGGUGGAUUUGAUCAUCUUAUUUUUGCCCUUUUAAUAGUUACUUACUCACUAUUAUUGAUCAUCUUAUUUAUUGAUCCUUUAUUAUUGUCAUUUUCUGUAAUUUUCUCAUCUACUUGGUUGGUUGGUUUAAUGAUUUUCAUGGAAAAACACUUGCACUAAUUAUUUUCUCUUUGGGAUUAAAUUUUAUGAUCAAAUUAUGCCCUCAAGGGAUUCAAAAUUUAAUUACAAAAUAUAAAAAGGUUCAAGAUUCAAAUUAAUAUUUUUCUAAAUUUUUCCUCCCUCCUAAUGUAUUGAAAGAAGUACAGAUAAAAAAUGCAUCCAAAGAAAUAACUAAUUUAGAUUAUUUAAGACAAAUAUUUUAUUUGACUAAAGAAAAUAAGGCGUUAUUUUCAAAAAUUUUAUAAUAAUUGUCUCUAAAUUUUUUAUUGUCCUCUGUAAGGGCCUACAAUUAUUUGAUAGUUCUAGGGACCUAGAUUAUUCACACAAAUUAUGGAAAAAUUCUCCAUCCAUUAAAUUAAAUCUCCUGGCCAAAAACAAAACUUUAUCCUUCAAUAACCAGAAAAUCAACUUUGCACUACAAUAACCAGAAGCCUACUAACAAAAGGAACCGUUUAUCCUUCUUCGGGUAGCAAAGACAAUUGAAUACAGAAACUCCAAGGCAGGAGAGAAAAUUUUAAAUAAAUGUUGUGAUCCCUCUAUUUUGUCAUGUUACAAUCAUUUUUCCCUUGAGCACCAUCUAUUUCUCACCUUUAAAUAGUAUUAUUCUUUCAAACAAAAGAAUACCAUCAAAAACAGGAGCCACAGCCUUUUGGCCUUUAGAUAAGUUGAUGCUCCUCCCAUCUUUUUCCUUUCUUCUUGUGGUGUAUGAGGUGAUCUCUUAUCCAAAACUGAAAAAGAAACAUCAAUAAAGAUGCUGGGUAGUAAAUAGUUGAAGCAAAUAGGUGACGCUUUCUUUCCAUUCUGAUGCUGUCACAGGUCCUAAUUUGUACAUCCUUUUCUUCUGGGUGAGUUGUCGUUAGUUACAGUAACGUGUAGAAGGGUCUAGUUCAUUAAUAAAAUUGUUGAUUUUCAAAAAUAUAAAAUAAAAAUAUUUAAAGAGUAUUAUAGUUUUUUGUUUUGCUUUAAACUUUUUUAUUUUUAAUUAAUUAAAAAGAUGAAAAUUGACAGUUUCUUUAUAGCUUUUGUUAAUGCGACAAGACAUUAUAUUGAUACCUCCAAGUAUGAAUAAUUGACGUGAUCUCUCUAUUAUUGUCCUUUAUAUUUGUUAUUUCCCUUUUAUGUACAUUUAAUGGCUUUCAUCAAAAAAUAUCUCUCUAGCUACAAACUGUUUAGGACCAAAGGAUUAGAAUACCGAUAUCAACCAACCAAU
rnacentral:lncRNA from 1 species